rnacentral:lncRNA from 1 species
AUGGCAGCAAAGCAGCACAAAAUCCUGAUGGAGCUGAAAUGGGAGCAGGCAGAAAUCCAGCACCUGAAAAACAUCUACAGGGCAGCCCAUCAAGAAAGGAAGAUUUUAUUAAAGCAGCAGAGAGAAAUCUUAAUGAUGCAGCAUUCAACAGCACAACUCCAGGAAAAGCUGCCCAGUUUGGCUGGAAAGCAGGAGGUUAUGAAGUCAGGGAGUAAACACAAUUGUGUCCAGCUAAAUCAUAAAAAGAGCAAGAAAUAUGAGGGGCAAGUAAAGCUUUUCUCUGUGAUUGCUGUAGGCAGGACCAAAUUCAGUGGAGAAGUUGGAGACAGGCAUGUUCUAGAUAAUUGUGUGAGCUUUAAAUACUCCAAAAAGGAAGUGUAUGGUGAUAAAUUUUUUAAACUUCUGUGUUCAAACAGUUGAUAAAUCAAGAUCACUGCUUAUCAUUCUGUCCCAAAUGGUGAGUUCCUCAGGGCACCUUUAAUGAUGCCACACAACUGCUAAUGAUAUUUCAUGCUUUCAUGGUGGCUUUUAACUACAAACCCAAACACUUUGCAACUAUAUAUUAAUGAGGCUUCACAAUACCCAUAUGGAAUGAGUAGAAAUGUAUUGAUUUAAUUGGGGAAAUUCACUCCUUUUUCACCCUCUACUUUGAGCCUCUGCAUCACUCAGCCCUUCAGAACUGCUCUGUGCUUCACUGAGGAUUUAACCAGAGAAGUAUUUUGUAAUACACAGGGCUAAAUUUUAGGCUUAAACUGAAGCACAGAGAUGUCAUGUAAAAUCGUACAGUGAGAUAUAAUUCAGGAGUUUGCUCAGACUGAGAAAUCCCUGUCCUGCUGUUCCCCAGGAGCAUCCCUGUCUGCUUCCUGCUGGGCUGGAGGAGCUGAGCAGCGUGAAUGAGAACCCCACAGCAUCUAUACUGUUCAGAACAAAAAUCUAGCUUGCUUCAGGAAGAGGAAAACAAGCAGUUAAAGACAUAUAUUUAUCAAUAUGAAUUAAACUUCCCUUUCAUUCAGUGUUACCCAGAGCUUUAGCAGGGUGGUGAGUCAGGUUUGUGCAUUUACUUAAGUCCCCACAGGGGAAGGCUUUCAAAUAAAUCCCUGCAUGGAACUGAUCUAUUAUUCAUGGUGUUAUUGAUUAUAAGUCAGAGAAAUCUUUAAAAGGUUUCUUGGCUGUGCUUUCACUUCUUAUUACUGACAAGGCUGCUCGUAGGAGAACAGUGAAUAUUUGUGUCAGCCUGGAGCAGCCAAGGGCUGGUGGAACUCAAAUGCACCCAAAUUCUGGCUGAUUGUCCAUAGAUCUCUGUCCUGUGUAGGAGUGCAGAGUGGUGAUUAUGCUAUUAAUCCACCUUCAUGAGUCUGUUCAUAUUUUAUAUUGAUCAGGAAUGAAGCAUUCAGUGUUGAACUCUUUACAGCUUUUCUACUGAGAACAAGGAAUCACUGGUACAACACCAGAAACAGGUGGAGGAGUUCUCAGGUUUGAAGCAGUCCCUUAAUGCUCAGGAUAAUGUUUUCUUACCUCUGGAACCUACAAAUUCAGCUGGAAUGGAAUCUGUAGCCACACUUGUUACAAGAAAAGGCCAAAAGUGUGUAUUUCUGGUAAGGACUACAUCUGCAAUUCCAUUAAUGCCUAAAGAAAGGGUAUCCCAGAUUACAUUUGCAUUUAAAUGGGACCAACACAAGACUCAUUUGGCAUUUGGGAACAUGUUGUUAAAAUAAGUGUGUUGGUUAAAUGCACUUUUUCCUUAAAACAUAACUCUGUCUCCUAAAUAUUUACAUUCUAGGAAUCUGUGCUGGAGGAAAAAGCACUUAUUUCACACCCUGAUCCUAAAGAUAAUGAAGAUAAUCCAUGUGGUGGAAAGUACCCAGUGAAAGGCUUGGGGAUGCUUCCUACUUGGUGUAACUUAUGCCCGGUUCAGGCAGAAAAUACUCUUGAAGGAACAGGUCAAUCAUAUUUAAUGCUAUUAUGUCUAAUCUGUUUCAACUACUUCAAUCAAAUUUCAAUCCAGACAGAAAGAGAGACAAUCUUCUCAUUCAUUACCAAAGUGUCUUGCUCACUAUAACCAAUGUAUAAAUCACUGCUGGGCAAGAUGGUGGGGAUCUCUCAGAGGUUUAUUAAGAGAGAUGAUUAUACUGCUUCUCCAGAACAAAAUCAUAACUUACUCUGAUGGUGUCAUUAACAAUUUGCUCUCUUUUUCAAGAAUUUAAGGCUGUUCUUUUUAAAAGAACAUAGAUCAGUUGAAGAUAGACUUGGACAGGACAUGCUGGAGUUUUUUGUUUCCAAGUUUUAUCCUCAGCUCAUAUUUCUUACUCUUAGUCAGACAGGUGAAAAAUAAAACUGUCUGUUUAUAUAUGAGUCAGUUAUACAUAGUUCUGGGUAUGCAUAAUUUCUGUAAUAUAAAUAUUUACAUAUUGUGGCAGUAUUUCCUAUUUCUGUCAUAUUUCUAAUGAACCAUUUUUAUGCAUUUCACAAAAUCACAGAAUAUCCUGAUUUGGAAGGGACCCACAAGGAUCAUGAAGUCCAACUUCUAAUUUACUCCUAGAUAUAGUGAGGAGCAUGAUAGAUUUGAGUGUUCUAAAUUAUCUAUCAGCAAGCUCUUCUAUAAAAUAUUUUUUCUUUUAAAUGCUGAUUUUUUAAAAAAAUUCUUUUAAAUGUUCCAGUUAAAGAAGUGGAAGUGCCUGUCCCUUCUGAGAUCCAUCGGGUGGAUGCCAGUCAGUGUUUGAAGCAUUUGGACCAUACUUCUCAUGAAGCUUCUGAUGAACUAAAUUUGAAAGCAUUUUCUGAGGGAUUAACUUCCACUGAAUCACUUUCCAAGUCAAAUAACUUCUUUCUGAAAUGUGAAAGUGCCAAAUCAGACUCUUUUCACCCAGAAUUUCAGAAAGUGUCUGCAGUUUGCAUCAGCUGCUCAAAAAGUUCCAUUUCAGACCCAGAAUUAGAGCUGAAGCAUGGAGAGGACACAGAUGUCAGUGUCCCAGAAGAGUUUGUCUGUGACAGUGGUGAUGUGU